UAUAGCAAUGCUAAAAUUUCAGAUGAUCAUGAUUGCAUGUUUUAAUUUUGUGAUGUACUUUAGAAACCUAAAUAAUGCUGUGUGACAUCCACAAUGAAUAGGCUUGGACAGAAUGGGCAAAGAAAGAUCACAGUGUUCACAGUUUACAAAGCGGCAUUUUAGGAGUGCUUGAUAACAUUGCACUCACUAGAACUUUUGAAAAUAUCGACACAGUUCAUAGUACACUUAUGAAGAGCCAGUGCUGGAAACAAGCAAAGCAUUUAGACAGUGGUUUUCAACAAAAUGGAUACCUGCCAUUAAGCUGAAGAAUUUAUAGACAUGAAUCAGAUAACAUGGGUCACACUUUUUGGAUUACUGUGCUUGUCUGCAUGUGUGAAGACAGCACCUACUAGAGAUAACAGCUUGAGGACAUUACAGCUAGCUCAAAACAGAGAACUGUUCCUGAGUGCCCUGCAGUCUUAUUUUAGUGACAAAGGUGUUCAUAUUGACAGAACUGCACCAGCAUUUGCCAUUGUCUCCAAGGGCCCCAACAGCAUCAUGAGAGAUGACGGAGGGAAGGAGGAUCAUUCAAGAUAUGAGAGGAACUGGCUGGAGUAGGAACAUACCCUUAGGUCUCCUCUUUUGUUUGUCAAAGAUGUACUGAAAGUGAAGAUAGAAAUGUUAAAAGUUAUUGACAGCUGGCAGUCGUUUUAUACACUGGAGACAUUGCUUAUGAUUUUAUUUAUUGAACUAUGAAUAAAUGAUUACCCGUAGUACUUAGCAUAUUCUGUUGCCCUGUGAACCAUUAUUAUACGGUCAUUGCUGAUGGCCAACCUGUGGCCAUUUUUGAUCAUGCCAGGGAAAUAUAUGAUAUUUAAAAUAAUACAUAGUAAAGCUACCUAUUAUAUCUGCUUGUUGUCUAUUUUAUAAUAAAACAGACAUACUCAUUGUUGAUUUUUAAUCAGUGUUGUUUUAUAAUAAAUCUGACAGUUUGUCUGUUUUGACUUUA